UCCACCCACCUUCUGUCAUCACAAGCCUUCUGAUCUCCAGCCCUCUGAUCUGCCCCAGUGGGACCCUCCUGCGUCUCUGCUCUAGUUGUAGAGGACCCAUCAGGCACUUAGAGAGAAAUGAGUGGUGUUGUGAACAUUCGACUGUGUCCAUGUGGAAUCCACACACACAGUUUGCCUGAAAAUGACUGAUAGGAUGGAAACUGACAAGUCAUCAUCCGCUUCGGGCACCAGCGAUGACUGGUUAACGUGAAUAUUGUGUUGAUUUCCGCUAGAUAGAAGAAGAUGUCACUUGUCGUUAAUGGGGUGUCACACGUACACUUGCCUAAAGGAAAAUGCUCUUUUGGUGAUUGUUCUCAAUUUUCCCCUCAUUUUAUAGCCAUAAAAAAGAAAAGAUUCAGCAGAAAGGAUGAAUCCACCUAGGGGUAGGAUGGAAAGGCAUUCUUCUCAUUUAUUUCCUUCUUUCUUUACCAGAACAACCAAAACCCAGUGAAAAUGCUGGUGCAAGUCAGAAGAGGGGGACCUGGGUUCUAAGAGCAGCCAGGUACUCUGGGCUCCAGAUCAGAGCCUCAGAAUCCAGCAGUUAUGCCCACAAGGUAGCCAAAGUCCAGCAGUACCACCAGUCUCUCGGCCAGCUAUACUUGCCUCUGCUCAACAAUGAUGAUUUGAACAUACAUGUACA
rnacentral:lncRNA from 1 species